rnacentral:rRNA from 1 species
UACGUAGGGUGCGAGCGUUUAAUCGGAAUUACUGGGCGUAAAGCGUGCGCAGGCGGUUUUGUAAGCCAGAUGUGAAAUCCCCGGGCUUAACCUGGGAAUGGCAUUUGGGACUGCAAGGCUUGAGUGCGGCAGAGGAGACUGGAAUUCCUGGUGUAGCAGUGAAAUGCGUAGAUAUCAGGAGGAACACCGAUGGCGAAGGCAGGUCUCUGGGCUGACACUGACGCUCAUGCACGAAAAGCGUGGGGAGCAAACAGG